GACGAACGCUGGCGGCGUGCUUAACACAUGCAAGUCGAACGGAGAGGCCCUGCUUUUGUGGGGUGCUCGAGUGGCGAACGGGUGAGUAACACGUGAGUAACCUGCCCUUGACUUUGGGAUAACUUCAGGAAACUGGGGCUAAUACCGGAUAGGAGCUCCUGCUGCAUGGUGGGGGUUGGAAAGUUUCGGCGGUUGGGGAUGGACUCGCGGCUUAUCAGCUUGUUGGUGGGGUAGUGGCUUACCAAGGCUUUGACGGGUAGCCGGCCUGAGAGGGUGACCGGCCACAUUGGGACUGAGAUACGGCCCAGACUCCUACGGGAGGCAGCAGUGGGGAAUAUUGCACAAUGGGCGGAAGCCUGAUGCAGCAACGCCGCGUGCGGGAUGACGGCCUUCGGGUUGUAAACCGCUUUCGCCUGUGACGAAGCAUGAGUGACGGUAAUGGGUAAAGAAGCACCGGCUAACUACGUG
rnacentral:rRNA from 1 species